rnacentral:rRNA from 1 species
AGAGCGAACGCUGGCGGCAGGCCUAAUACAUGCAAGUCGAACGGAUCCUUCGGGAUUAGUGGCGGACGGGUGAGUAACACGUGGGAACGUGCCCUUUGGUUCAGAACAACUCAGGGAAACUUGAGCUAAUACUGGAUAAGCCCUUCGGGGGAAAGAUUUAUCGCCAUUGGAGCGGCCCGCGUCUGAUUAGCUAGUUGGUGGGGUAAAGGCCCACCAAGGCUUCGAUCAGUAGCUGGUCUGAGAGGAUGAUCAGCCACACUGGGACUGAGACACGGCCCAGACUCCUACGGGAGGCAGCAGUAGGGAAUCUUGCGCAAUGGGCGAAAGCCUGACGCAGCCAUGCCGCGUGAAUGAUGAAGGUCUUAGGAUUGUAAAAUUCUUUCAGCGGGGACGAUAAUGACGGUACCGCAGAAGAGCCCGGCUAACUUCGCGCCAGCAGCCGC